rnacentral:rRNA from 1 species
CAAUAGCGUAUAUUAAAGCUGUUGCGGUUAAAAAGCUCGUAGUUGGAUUUCUGUCAAGGACAACUGGUCCGCCCUCCGGGUGAGCACAUAGUUUGGUCUUGGCAUCUUGCUGGAAACUGUUGCUGUGCUUGGUUGUGUGGUGCAGCUUUCAGCACUUUCACUUUGAGGAAAUUGGAGUGUUUCAAGCAGGCACAUGCCUUUGGACACAGUAGCAUGGAAUAAUUAGAUUGGGCUUUUGCUCCAACUUGUUGGUUCCUGGAGCUGAGGUGAGAAUCAAUGGGGAUUGUUGGGGGCAUCCGAAUUUAGCCGUCAGAGGUGAAAUUCUUGGAUCUGCUAAAGACGGACAACUGCGAAAGCGUUUGCCCAGGAUGUUUUCAUUGA